rnacentral:rRNA from 1 species
UACGUAGGGGGCUAGCGUUGUCCGGAAUCAUUGGGCGUAAAGCGCGUGUAGGCGGCCCGGUAAGUCCGCUGUGAAAGUCGGGGGCUCAACCCUCGAAUGCCGGUGGAUACUGUCGGGCUUGAGUACGGAAGAGGCGAGUGGAAUUCCUGGUGUAGCGGUGAAAUGCGCAGAUAUCAGGAGGAACACCGGCGGCGAAGGCGGCACUCUGGGCCGGUACUGACGCUGAGGAGCGAAAGCGUGGGGAGCAAACAGG